CCCUUAGAUGUUCUGGGCUGCACGCGCGCUACACUGAUGCAUGCAACGAGUUUUCGACCUUGCCUGAAAAGGUUGGGUAAUCUGUUUAACAUGUGUCGUGAUGGGGAUAGACCAUUGCAAUUAUUGAUCUUCAACGAGGAAUUCCCAGUAAGCGCGAGUCAUCAGCUCGUGCUGAUUAUGUCCCUGCCCUUUGUACACACCGCCCGUCGCUCCUACCGAUUGAGUGGUCCGGUGAGGCUUUGGGAUCUGAGCGGAAAGAGCGUUUCGCUGUUUCUGCUCGGAAAACUCAGUCGAACCUUAUCAUUUAGAGGAAGGAGAAGUCGUAACA
rnacentral:rRNA from 1 species